ensembl:lncRNA
UAUCACUGUGAUUUGUUUUCCUCCUUAUGAAACUGAUCAAAAGCACUUUUCAUUCAAAAUGUUAUAAAUAAUCUUGUCCACCAGGGCUUCCCCUGGUGGUUCAGACAGUAAAGAAUCCGCCCGCAUUGCGGGAGACCUGGGUUCCAUCCCUGGGUUGGGAAGAUCCGCUGGAGAAGGGAAAGGCCCCAUUGCUCUGACCUGGAGAAUUCCAUCAACUGUAUAGUCCAUGGGGUAGCAAAGAGUCGGACACGAGUGUGCGACUGUCACUUUUAUAUUGUUUUAACACUUUCAUGCAAAAUUAUAUCUGAGAGCAUUUAACAGUUCUUGAAGACGAGCUCUGUCGCCCUGGCGGGCCGCCCUCCUGUCCCACGCGGCGGGGCAGCGCCGGCCUCAACCCAGGAGAGCGUUCGGGGAGCGCGCGGGCGGCUGGCCCCUGCCGCGCGGGCUGGCGGGCGGCGGCGACGGGCGGCUCCGCGGUGUGGGGACCACACACCGCCCGCCCGCGCCCGGCCCCUUGUCCUCGCGCGGCGAAGGUCCCGCGCGGCGGCGCUGGCGGCGGGACACGGUGGGCCCUGCGCGAAUUAUAGGCGUUCCUUCUGAGGCUCCAUGUUAAGCCUCUCCCGGACGCGCCCUCCCGGCUCCCCGUCCCCGAAAGCCGCACCCCGGGGCCCCAAGGAGCCGCGCUACCGGCCCGCACCCCGCGCUCCCGGCCCCGGGCCUCAGGCUGCGGCAUCUCCAGCCCCCAGCCGCCGCCGGGACCGCGCGCCCGCGCCGCGGUCUGGUUCCGGAGCGGGGGCAGCCUCGGAAGGUCAAUGUUAUUUUUAAAGUUCCUGGCCGGGAUGUCAUUCUGAGAGAACGCCUGUUCGCCUCAGCUGAACAUAGAUAGUUUCCCAUCCUUUCCUCUGGUCUGAGUUUUGAUUUGCUUCGGUGCUGGUUCUGACCUUUUGUCCCGCCUGUGAGAGCAGGGCUCCCAGCUCUUCGCGAUUUCCAUCUCCGGCUCUCUAUUGAGAUCCCUGCUCUGUUCCUGCUAGGUGGAGGUAGUGUCUGGGCUCUCCAAGCAGUCUCUGUUGACCGACCAUGGUGGGAGGGACCCCUCCUUACCGUGGUGGGAGUGGGAGUUCCAGCUCCCCAUUUUCUUAUUAAUAAGGUUUGAGAAAUGUUCAUUCAUCCAUAAUAUCUUUGGCCACCCACCAGGGGAUACACCUUCAGUUGGCAAAUUUAAAAAAGACAUACUCUUUGCUCUCAAGCAGUUAAAAGGGUGUAACAUCAGAAGUGGAAAUGUGCAUUUUUAUAAACAUUUAUAAAUGGUUGAAAUGUGUACUAAAAUUGUAUGCAUGAUUAUACUGCAAAACUACAAAUAUGUUCCUUAAUGUUUAGUUAAAAAUCAGCUGGGGAGCUUAUAUCACAAAAGAAUAAAGGUAAAUAAAUAUGAUAGGGUAUAAUUUAA